rnacentral:rRNA from 1 species
GAUGAACGCUGGCGGCGUGCCUAAUACAUGCAAGUCGAGCGAACAGAUGAGGAGCUUGCUCCUCUGACGUUAGCGGAGGACGGGUGAGUAACACGUGGAUAACCUACCUAUCAGACUGGGAUAACUUCGGGAAACCGGAGCUAAUCCCGGAUAAUAUAUUGAUCCGCAUGGUUCAAUAGUGAAAGACGGUUUUGCUGUCACUUAUAGAUGGAUCUGCGCCGGAUUAGCUAGUUGGUAAGGUAACGGCUUAUCAAGGCAACGAUGCGUAGCCGACCUGAGAGAGGGGUCGGCCACACUGGAACGUAGACACGGUCAAGACGCCUGCGAGAGGCAGCAGUAUGGAAUCGGCCGCAGUAGGCGAAAGCUUGACGGAGCAACGCCGCGUGAGUUGUAGAGGUCUUGGGAGCGUAAAACUCUGUUAUUAGUGAAAAACAAAUGUGUAAGGAACUAUGCACGGCUUGACGGUACUUAAUCAGAAAGCCUCGGCUAACUACGUG